CUGCACUAUGGGGCCCCAACGGGACACUUGGCCCUCUGUGACUUUUUGGAAUGUUUUUACUUUUAACCUCAUGACACUGAACUUCUUUGUUACACAGAACGCUCUGUGAUUUCCCAACACAGCAGAUAUCUUUCUGGGUUUCUCAACCUAUAGUCUCAAAUUGGCAGUAUUUUUUUAUUGGCCACGCUUAAUUUUAUACAUUGAUGUUUUAGUUACCUGUUCAUGAAAGCGUGGAAUUGUAGAACUUUGCCCCAGUUUCUUAGUCUGGUAGUAGAACACAACCUUGGAAUUUAGACAGACCUUGUUUGGAGUCCAGCUCUGCUACUGACUGUCCCCAGCGUCACCGGCCAACUCUUGAACCUCUCCGAGGACAGGUUUUGCAUCUAAAAAAUCAAGGGUUGUCGGAAGGAUUGCAUUUUAUAACACCUGCGAGGUUCUCAGUGCAGUGAUGGAAACAUACAGGUGCUCAGUAAAUUUGUCAUUGUUGUUUGCGUCAAUGUGGACUUUCAUGUCUUCUCCGGCAAAGGCGUCCAAUUCAGUCCCACCAGCACUUGAAUUUGCUACUUUUCACAUAUUUUACCAUUGGUGGCCAUGAGAAGUGCCAAGGUCAGCAGAAACACGAGUUCAAGGUAACUGUUAGCUACCAUCGAAAUUCAUCUGUUAAGUUUUCUCAGCCUCAGAACUGUUUGGAUUUGCGUCUUGAUUUCCAUUCAUAUUUAUAGUCUAUUAUUUGAAAUAAUACUUGUAUAAUUUUUCCAUGAUUCAACUGAUGUUUUCAUUUAACAGCCUGAAACUAAUUUCAUUAAUCAUUAUUGAAUCAUUAUCUUCUUUCAGUGAG
rnacentral:lncRNA from 12 species